rnacentral:siRNA from 1 species
GAAGAAAUGAUUGGGUUUAGGAG